AGUUUAAAAAAGUAGUUGACACACCGCCUUUUCACGGCGGUAACACGGGUUCGAAUCCCGUACGGACUA
rnacentral:tRNA from 1 species